rnacentral:tRNA from 1 species
GAGGGUAUAGCUCAGUGGCAGAGUGAAUGCUUAAUAAGCACAAGAUCCUGGGUUCAAUCCUCAGUACCUCCA